rnacentral:tRNA from 1 species
GCUUUUAAAGGAUAACAGCCAUCCAUUGGUCUUAGGCUCCAAACACUCUUGGUGCAACUCCAUGUAGAAGCU